rnacentral:rRNA from 1 species
GGAAUAUUGCGCAAUGGGCGACAGCCUGACGCAGCGACGCCGCGUGGGGGAUGAAGGUCUUCGGAUUGUAAACCCCUUUCGGCAGGGAAGAUGGGACGGGCAACCGUUCGGACGGUACCUGCAGAAGCAGCCACGGCUAACUUCGUGCCAGCAGCCGCGGUAAUACGAAGGUGGCAAGCKUUGUUCGGAUUUACUGGGMGUACAGGGAGCGUAGGCGGUUGGGUAAGCCCUCMGUGAAAUCUCCGGGCCUAACCCGGAAAGUGCGGAGGGGACUGCUCGGCUAGAGGAUGGGAGAGGAGCGCGGAAUUCCCGGUGUAGCGGUGAAAUGCGUAGAGAUCGGGAGGAAGGCCGGUGGCGAAGGCGGCGCUCUGGAACAUUUCUGACGCUGAGGCUCGAAAGCGUGGGGAGCAAACAGGAUUAGAUACCCUGGUAGUCCACGCCUUAAACGAUGGAUACUAAGUGUCGGCGGGUUACCGCCGGUGCCGCAGCUAACGCAUUAAGUUCCCGC